GAUGAACGCUGGCGGCGUGCCUAAUACAUGCAAGUCGAGCGAACAGAUAAGGAGCUUGCUCCUUUGACGUUAGCGGCGGACGGGUGAGUAACACGUGGGUAACCUACCUAUAAGACUGGGAUAACUUCGGGAAACCGGAGCUAAUACCGGAUAAUAUUUCGAACCGCAUGGUUCGAUAGUGAAAGAUGGUUUUGCUAUCACUUAUAGAUGGACCCGCGCCGUAUUAGCUAAUUGGUAAGGUAACGGCUUACCAAGGCGACGAUACGUAGCCGACCUGAGAGGGUGAUCGGCCACACUGGAACUGAGACACGGUCCAGACUCCUACGGGAGGCAGCAGUAGGGAAUCUUCCGCAAUGGGCGAAAGCCUGACGGAGCAACGCCGCGUGAGUGAUGAAGGUCUUCGGAUCGUAAAACUCUGUUAUUAGGGAAGAACAUACGUGUAAGUAACUGUGCACGUCUUGACGGUACCUAAUCAGAAAGCCACGGCUAACUACGUG
rnacentral:rRNA from 1 species